rnacentral:lncRNA from 1 species
AUAUGGCCCCGCGGGCGGGGUUUAGGCCCAAAGUGGUGUCGGAGCAGCGCCUAUUAGUGUCAUCCUCACCGUCACGGCCGGCGCCUCCUCCUGGAUUCAUUCACUCGCUCUUUUCAUUCACGAAGUUGUCACAGGUAGUACUGAUGGAAUUGGAAAAUCAUAUGCAGAAGAGUUAGCAAAGCAUGGAAUGAAGGUUGUCCUUAUCAGCAGAUCAAAGGAUAAACUUGACCAGGUUUCCAGUGAAAUAA